CAGCCGGGACCGCGGGUGCUGAGGGGGAAGAGGACGGAAGUCAGCCGCGGGGCACGCGGGGAACACUAACCCGAGAGGAAUAGGAAGGCAAUUCAAAUGAAUGGAGGAAAUGGCAGGAACAGCUGUCCUAGUCAGUGUGGAGUGGUGUUGCGCUGUGGUUUUGACUUGGAUUCCCCAAUGACUUUCUGUCGAUGGAACAAAUAUCUAAGCUUCUCCAACCUGUUGGAAUCACUCAGGAAGGAUGUGAAAACUGCAGAUUUCAAAACUCCACUUCAAGACUCCUGAGAUCACUGGGACAACCCUGGGGAUCCCAUUUUACGGUUUCCUCUGAGGCGAGUCUGACAGUUCUGAGGCUAAGUGUGCUUCCUUCAGCCCCGUGAGCUACUGAAAUUUGGCACUUUUGUUUGGCCUCUUGAAAGAAGGAACUGGAGACAAGGCAGCAGGCACAGUUAACAUCAUUUGCAAACAUAAACUCAAAGUCAGCCAACACAGAAUCAAGGUUGAAUCAAGUAGGACUAGCAGCAUAGCUACUGGGAAAAUGUCCUUCCCUCUGUGCUGUUUGCAGAAUACUGAUGGGUUGGUGAAUUAUUUCUCACUCGGCGCCACCACCGAACUAUAAAUAACAGCCUAAUCCUGACGUCUUUACUCAUUGAGACCCUUGGAAAACAGGACAUCUGGCUCAUUCCCAUUCUCUCAAUCCCUUCCGUUCUCGUCUUUGGCUAAACCUUUGACAACCAAUUUAGUCCUGAAGUCCUUAAGCCAGGCUGCUCCACUUACAACGAUGUUGCUCUGAAACCCUAUCUUCUGUCACAGAGAGCUCUACACAAUACUCUCCGGGAUGCAACUGAUGAAUGAACCUCAGUUUGCAAAUCUCAGCUCACACAGUUGACUUACUUUGACCAUUUUGCUCUUGGGAAGAUGUUUCUUCGUUAUUUGACCUUGAUCUGUAACUUUCUAAAGUGUGUUCUGAAAUUUCAUUUUCUGAAAGAAAAGAAGAUUAAGACACUGAUUUCUGAUGCCACAGAUGCCACCUAUAUGUUGAAAUGUAAGUUUGAAUAAGAAGACCUCAGUUACAGUAUACAGCUGAUCAGCCCCUCCUGUACCUCCUGUCUGCAUUAAUUCAACACAUUACUAGGAUCUCUGCAGCUACCAUCAAGGCACUAUAAGAGCCGUGGAAGGGAAAUGACAACAAAAGAGAAGCAAGUAUUGUCUUACAGGAAGGGACAACUGAAAUAGCCCCCAAAGAAUGAUGGGGGUGAAUCAUCAGUGAGAGGUUUUGAAACAAUAUUAUGGUGUUUGCCUAUUGUGCAGACCACGUGAGCCUUCCGCAGCUUCAUUAUGAAGAGCUGGACUAUGAUGAAGAGGAUGAAGAUGAGGAAGGAUACAAGCGUGAGCAGCAGGAUGCCACUUUUCUUCCUUGCCAACCCUAUGUACUGAGGAUUCGCUUCUCAUCAACAAUGGUCCAAGUGCUUGCUAACCAAGUGAAUGACCUGCCCUCAAAGGUGAUUUUGUUAUUCAGCGACAGCACCAAAUUCCCAGCUUCUCCUAUCUUGGAUCACUGAUAUCAAGUCUUUGUUUUGUGUUUGCUCUGUUCUGGAUGGGAAAACAAAGAACAAGCUUCCUCAUGAAUGGAUUCAACUUUGUCCUUUGGCACAGAGUCACCAUCCCUGUGUGUGUGUGUGUGUGUGUGUGUGUGUGUGUGUGUGUACACGCGUGCACAUGUAUCUUGAGCAGAACAGUGCAGAACAGCACUGAGAUGACAAGGCAUUAUGUUACUCUGGAUCCCAUCCACUAAAUACGCUCUACUUACGAGGCCCUGUUCCAGCACUCCACAAAACUAGUGCUACUUGAAUGGUCUUAUUUGAAAUUAAAAUUUAAAAAUUCUGAAAAACAACAUUAGAAAUGGAAUCUUCCCAAGUGGACAUGGU